GGAGGUUUAGCUCAGUUGGUAGAGCAUCUGACUUUUAAUCAGAGGGUCGCUGGUUCGAACCCGUUAACCUCCACCA
rnacentral:tRNA from 1 species